AGAACGAACGCUGGCGGCAUGCCUAACACAUGCAAGUCGAACGAGACCUUCGGGUCUAGUGGCGUACGGGUGCGUAACGCGUGGGAAUCUGCCCUUAGGUUCGGAAUAACAGUUAGAAAUGACUGCUAAUACCGGAUAAUGACGUAAGUCCAAAGAUUUAUCGCCUAGGGAUGAGCCCGCGUAGGAUUAGCUAGUUGGUGGGGUAAAAGCCUACCAAGGCGACGAUCCUUAGCUGGUCUGAGAGGAUGAUCAGCCACACUGGGACUGAGACACGGCCCAGACUCCUACGGGAGGCAGCAGUGGGAAUAUUGGACAAUGGGCGAAAGCCUGAUCCAGCAAUGCCGCGUGAGUGAUGAAGGCCUUAGGGUGUAAGCUCUUUACCGGGAUGAUAAUGACAGUACCGGAGAAUAAGCUCGGCUAACUCCGUGCCAGCAGCCGC
rnacentral:rRNA from 1 species